CCCUUAGACGUUCUGGGCCGCACGCGCGCUACACUGACCAGUGCAACAAGCAUCCGUCCUUGGCCGACAGGCCCGGGCAAUCUUUGAACGCUGGUCGUGAUGGGGAUAGACUUUUGCAAUUUUUGGUCUUCAACGAGGAAUUCCUAGUAAACGCAAGUCAUCAACUUGCAUUGAUUACGUCCCUGCCCUUUGUACACACCGCCCGUCGCACCUACCGAUUGAAUGGUCCGGUGAGGCGUUCGGACCGUGGCCUUUGGACGGUUCGCCGUCUGUUGGCUGCGGGAAGUUCGUUAAACCUUAUCAUUUAGAGGAAGGAGAAGUCGUAACA
rnacentral:rRNA from 1 species